AACGAACGCUGGCGGCAGGCUUAACACAUGCAAGUCGAACGCCCCGCAAGGGGAGGUGGCAGACGGGUGAGUAACACGUGGGAACGUGCCCUAAGGUUUGGAAUAUUCCCGGGAACUGGGAGCAAUACCAAAUGUGUCCGCAAGGAGGAAGAUUUAUCGCCUUAGGAUCGGCCCGCGUUGGAUUAGCUAGUUGGUGGGGUAAAAGCCUACCAAGGCGACGAUCCAUAGCUGGUCUGAGAGGACGACCAGCCACACUGGGACUGAGACACGGCCCAGACUCCUACGGGAGGCAGCAGUGGGGAAUCUUGGACAAUGGGCGCAAGCCUGAUCCAGCCAUGCCGCGUGAGUGAUGAAGGCCUUAGGGUU
rnacentral:rRNA from 1 species